GGCUGGUUUGGUUAGAUCUGGAAUUUGGGGAGAGAUAUUGAGUCCAUGGAAGUGGUGGCAAACGCCAAACAGGGCACUUCCGCAUUUUAGCAAAUUUCCAUGGGAGAGGAGAAUAUGUCAGUGACAGAUGGGCAAAAAACAAGGUUUAGAGACUGAAAAGGCUAGGGAAAGCACCGAAAGCUGGAAGCAGAGCUAUCUCAAUGACAUGAUGAAGAUGAAAUAUACAGACCACCGAAUAACUUGCUCUAGAUUCCAAUUCCGGAGAGUUAGAUAACUUGGGGUUGGAUCCUGUUUCCACGACGACUCCAUCGUUGAACAAGACGAGGCUUUUGUAUAGUCCUGCUAUGGUGUAUCUAAGAAUAUGUAUUUUGACUUAGGAAUGACAUCCUACGGAUAUAGUCAUAUGUUUGUUCUAUUGCAAUGACCUAAGGGUUUAGCUAAUACGAACAAAUAGCAUUCAAUCCGA